GCUAAUACCGCAUAACGUCGCAAGACCAAAGAGGGGGACCUUCGGGCCUCUCACUAUCGGAUGAACCCAGAUGGGAUUAGCUAGUAGGCGGGGUAACGGCCCACCUAGGCGACGAUCCCUAGCUGGUCUGAGAGGAUGACCAGCCACACUGGAACUGAGACACGGUCCAGACUCCUACGGGAGGCAGCAGUGGGGAAUAUUGCACAAUGGGCGCAAGCCUGAUGCAGCCAUGCCGCGUGUAUGAAGAAGGCCUUCGGGUUGUAAAGUACUUUCAGCGGGGAGGAAGGCGAUGUGGUUAAUAACCGCAUUGAUUGACGUUACCCGCAGAAGAAGCACCGGCUAACUCCGUGCCAGCAGCCGCGGUAAUACGGAGGGUGCAAGCGUUAAUCGGAAUUACUGGGCGUAAAGCGCACGCAGGCGGUCUGUUAAGUCAGAUGUGAAAUCCCCGGGCUUAACCUGGGAACUGCAUUUGAAACUGGCAGGCUUGAGUCUCGUAGAGGGGGGUAGAAUUCCAGGUGUAGCGGUGAAAUGCGUAGAGAU
rnacentral:rRNA from 1 species